rnacentral:tRNA from 1 species
UCCUGGCUGGCUUAGUCAUUGGAGCUUAAAACUCUUGAUCUUGGGGUUGUGGGUUCAAGCCCCAUGUUGGGUU